CCUACGGGUGGCAGCAGUGGGGAAUAUUGCACAAUGGGCGAAAGCCUGAUGCAGCGACGCCGCGUGAGCGAAGAAGGCCUUCGGGUCGUAAAGCUCUGUCCUAUGGGAAGAAAGAUGACGGUACCAUAGGAGGAAGCCCCGGCUAGCUACGUGCCAGCAGCCGCGGUAAUACGUAGGGGGCGAGCGUUGUCCGGAAUGACUGGGCGUAAAGGGUACGUAGGCGGCUAGAUAAGUCAGAUGUGAAAGGCAUAGGCUUAACCUGUGUAAGCAUUUGAAACUGUCUAGCUUGAGUCAAGGAGAGGAAAGUGGAAUUCCUGGUGUAGCGGUGAAAUGCGUAGAUAUUAGGAGGAACACCAGUGGCGAAGGCGACUCUCUGGUCUAUAACUGACGCUGAGGCGCGAAAGCGUGGGGAGCAAGCAGGAUUAGAUACCCCAGUAGUC
rnacentral:rRNA from 1 species